CAGUAGCCGCGGUAAAACGUAGGUGGCAAGCGUUGUCCGGAAUUAUUGGGCGUAAAGGGCUCGCAGGCGGUUUCUUAAGUCUGAUGUGAAAGCCCCCGGCUCAACCGGGGAGGGUCAUUGGAAACUGGGAAACUUGAGUGCAGAAGAGGAGAGUGGAAUUCCACGUGUAGCGGUGAAAUGCGUAGAGAUGUGGAGGAACACCAGUGGCGAAGGCGACUCUCUGGUCUGUAACUGACGCUGAGGAGCGAAAGCGUGGGGAGCGAACAGGAUUAGAUACCCCGGUAGUCCCUGUCUCUUAUAC
rnacentral:rRNA from 1 species